GGACGUUUAGCUCAGUUGGUAGAGCACUCGCUUGACGUGCGAGUGGUCAGCGGUUCAAGUCCGUUAACGUCCACCA
rnacentral:tRNA from 2 species